UUAAAGUUUUAUUUAUACUUAAAAUUUCAAUUUAUUAUUAUUUAAUAUGUAAAUAUUACAUUAAAAAUUUAUUUGCAGUUUUUAGUUUUAAAAAAUUAUUAAAGUAAGUUUUAGUAAUUAAUUAUAGAUUUAAUAAAAUUUGUGCCAGCAAUUGCGGUUAUACAAAUAAGUCAAUUAAAAUUUAUUGGUAAAUAAUUAAUUUAUUUAAAUUAAUUUAUUAUUAAAAUUUUUAAGUGAAAUUUAAAUUUUAAUAUAAUUUUUUUAUUUAUAUAUGAAGUUAUUAAAAUUAGAAUUAAACUAGGAUUAGAUACCCUAUUAUUAUAAUUGUAAAUUUAAAUACCAGAUUAGUAUUAGUUGUUUUCUUAAAAAUUAAAGAAUUUGGCGGUAUUUUAGUCUAUUCAGAGGAACCUGUCCUGUAAUUGAUAAUCCACGUUUAGAAUUGCUUUUCUUUUUCUUGUAUAUCGUUGUUUUUGAAUAUUUUAUAAGAAUUUUAAUUUUCAAUAAGUAUAUAUUAGUUUAUUUCAGAUCAAGGUGCAGUUUGUAGAAAAGAAGAGAUGGGUUACAAUAAAUUUAUUUUUGGUUUAUUAUUUUAGAUAAUUUUAUUAAAUUGGAUUUGAUAGUAAUAUUUUAUAUAUUUGAUAUAUGAUUAUAGCUCUAAAAUGUGUACAUAUUGCCCGUCGCUCUCAUUUAUUUGAGAUAAGUCGUAACAAAGUAGAUUUACUGGAAAGUGUAUCUAGAAUUAAU
rnacentral:ncRNA from 1 species